UUUGGGUGUAUGGAUCUCUUCUCACGGUAUGAGAAACCAUGGAAACUCUUCCUUUAGAGUUACAGUUCAUUUUAUGUUGUUUUUCUCUUCUAAACUCUUGGUUUAGAGUUGGUAUUUGAUGAAUGGAGAGGUUUUGUAGGUUCAUUCAUGAAAACCCCAAAACCCCCAAAACGAGAAUAUGAGUAGAAAGGGAAAUGGGUGAAAUGUUAAAUGUGGAAGAUGAUUAUGUGCUUUAACGUUGAUAUAUGAGAUGAAUAUGUAUGUUUUAGAUGUUGGAAACCUUCAAAAUGUGUGAAUCUCUUGUAUGUUUAAAGAUGAAAUGAAAGUUCCUAAGGUUGGAGGAAAUCGCGGAGGAAACUUGUAAAGUUACUCGAAAACGACCCCAACGCUCACCAAGGUAAACAAAUAAAAUGGGGAUGCUUGGUUGGGAGCUUUAGGAGCUUUAGACUUUGGAUUCAUUAUUUACGUUUUUGUACUUUAAAUGACUACUUGCGGAUUUGAAUGAUUUAACCCUGGUUGACAUAGAUUUGGAUAUUCGUAACCAUGUGUACUGCUAUUUUUGAGGAAUUUAACCUUUGGGUUCUUAGUACUCUUGGGGGAUGAUAUGAAUGUAUUAUGUUUUUCUGUCAUGUGAAGAGUGUUGUAGUAUGACAUGUUGAAUGUAACACCCUAAAUUUACGUCUUUAAAAAUUAUAGUAUCAAUCCUGAGAUUCUCGCUUGAGCGAGGAAUUCUCGCCUAACCGAGGAAGGCUCACCUGGAAGGGUGAAAUCCUUGGCUAUACUGGAGGAUUAUCGACUGAGCGAGAGUUGGCUCGCUUGAGAGAGAAAGACUC